rnacentral:rRNA from 1 species
UAUUGGACAAUGGGCGAAGGCCUGAUCCAGCCAUGCCGCGUGAGUGAUGAAGCCCUUAGGGUUGUAAAGCUCUUUUAGCGGAGACGAUAAUGACGGUAUCCGCAGAAAAAGCCCCGGCCAACUUCGUGCCAGCAGCCGCGGUAAUACGAAGGGGGCUAGCGUUGCUCGGAAUCACUGGGCGUAAAGCGCACGUAGGUGGGUCGUUAAGUCGGGGGUGAAAUCCCGGAGCUCAACUCCGGAACUGCCUUCGAUACUGGCGACCUUCGAGUCCGGGAGAGGUGAGUGGAACUGCGAGUGUAGAGGUGAAAUUCGUAGAUAUUCGCAAGAACACCAGUGGCGAAGGCGGCUCACGGCCCGGUACGACACUGAGGUGCGAA